GGGAAUGUGGCUUAGUGGUAGAGUGCUUGCCUAGUAUGCAUGAAGCCCAGGGUUUGAUUCCUCUGUACCA
rnacentral:tRNA from 1 species